GGGCAAAUAGCGUAGGGGUUAUCGCGUUCGCUUUGCAUACUGUCGAGGGUCGACGACUGCUGCGAAAGGUCUCCGGUUCAAAUCCGGAUUUGUCCA